AUCUAAAGAUGCAAGAAAUUUAUUUGAAAAAAAAAGGUAGCAGGUUAAAAUGAGAUUCUCAUCACAAAUUUUGAUCUCUCCUUUAUCAGGGGAAUGGACAGACAUGGUUGGUUUUUCUCUGCUAUUGGAGCACUGGCUGCCAUUAUCCAAUUGAAACCUGAAACUCUCUCUCCAUC